GGAAUUUUGGGCAAUGGCCGCAAGGCUGACCCAGCGACGCCGCGUGCGGGAGGACGCCUUUCGGGGUGUAAACCGCUGUCGGGAGGGACGACCCCGGGCGUGUCGAACAGGCACGUCCGCUGACGGUACCUCCAAAGGACGCGCCGGCUAACCCCGUGCCAGCAGCCGCGGUAAGACGGAGGGCGCGAGCGCUGUUCGGAAUUACUGGGCGUAAAGCGCGCGCAGGCGGGUCCAGUAAGUCGGAGGUGAAAUCCCGGGGCUCAACUCCGGGACUGCCUCCGAGACUGCGGAUCUGGGGACCGGUAGAGGCGGGCGGAAUUCCCGGUGUAGCGGUGGAAUGCGUAGAGAUCGGGAAGAACACCCGUGGCGAAGGCGGCCCGCUGGGCCGGAUCCGACGCUGAGGCGCGAAAGCGUGGGGAGCAAAC
rnacentral:rRNA from 1 species